rnacentral:lncRNA from 1 species
AUUCAUACUGCAUCUGGAACAAGGUCCAAUUACCAUGGCCGGACCAGCAACCAAACAAUUAUAUCAAACUUGAUGGAAAUGUUUCCAGCCCAGAACUCACCUCGUCGAUUUCAGACAGUGUCGCAGACGAGUAUUAAGAUCCAAGUGGCGGACUUACAAUCAGACAACCAAAGCCUGGGUGGUUUAUAUGUUCUUGUCAACCAGACUAACGCACAAGGUUUUGGGCGUUGCGAGGUGACUCCUGUCGUGACGGAAACCGUAGGGUGUCACUAGCUUCGAGUUUCCGAAAGAAGCGUUUCUUUUAACGAGUCAUCUCUAUUGUAAUUCGACGAAAAAUAUUAGCUUGUUUUUAAGAUUGCUGAGGUGAUUCAAAGCUUGCACUAUAUUGUACAGUAUUGGGAAUCGUACUCACUCUCAACAAUCCAUAGCCAAGAAUACAUCCGAUGCUGUGUCCUGGUAUGAAAAUACCCAUUGUGGAAAUAGUCGUUUUGCCAAAUACCACAGCAGCUAUCGUCACUGAUGGAUUAACAUGACGACCACUGAUGUGCUCAUAGAACUGCAAACAUCGAAACAACACCGUCCGAUUUUUCUCGCCAAAUUAUCCAAAACGUGACAAUUCUGCAUUUUAUACAUUCCAUUGCAGUGAACAAGUAAGAAGAAAGGCAUAAAUGAUGGUAAAAAAAAUCGAAAACUCCAAACUGUAAGAGCAACGACCAUGGAAAAACUGAAGAUAAUGGAAACUUGCAUACGGAGGGUGUGCUUGACAGCGCGCCAAAUCAGCUUAUGCAGCCGAUGAAGACGAGAAUGGGAGUUUCGAGGAUUUCGCCAGUGAACAUCAGAGCACUCUCGAAUGGGUACCUACGGAGUUUUCGUGGAACACGUAAUUUUUGUGGAACAGGAAAUGAUCCGCGGUUGUCAGCAACACUGAUACUAUAAAUACAGCAGACAUAGAUGCAGCGAAAAAAGCAAUCAUCAAAACAGCGCUUUCACGAUUUACAGAGCGCAGAUUCGAUCUAAAAUCGGAAAGUAGUCAACUCAUCAUAUUGCUGAAGAGGGAUUCAAAAUCACUAUUAUACUGGUAUGCAUGAAUUAUUGUUUCAAUUAUAUUUUCGUAUCACAUAGUCGGACAUUGUUUUUUAUUUGUUUCCUAACCUUGACAAAAUCUUAAUAUUAAAAUCACGUAUCUCGUUCUAGAACCAUUCUAGGUUCCCGAGUCGAAAUUUUAUAACCCUGUUAAGCCUCUUAACACUCUAUUGCUUCACAACUCGGAUUUGAUUCGAAUUUGUAUCUCAUUAACGUUUUUCAGAUCAUCACAGCUCACUAUGACACUUCAAUAGAACCUCGAAUCUGCGGAACUCAAGAAAAUAAAACUCAAGCAUUAUUUUUAGAGAUCUAAACCAGGAAUAUUGCAACUGCGACUUACGAGGAUCGAAUAAGAACCAAUUUGGAUCUCACUAAAGCCCCUGACAUGGGCACCAGGCCUUAGGAUUAGCACAAUUUUAAGGUUCAAUUGAAAUAUUUUUUACUCGGAAUUUUCCGUAAAUAUUCUUGAGGUCCUAAUGAGGUCUAAAAUUUCGUCUCGGGUUAUCUGUUAACCGUGCAAUAUUAUACUUAUGCCAAUUCUACAUUAAAGUAUAAAAUUUCCCUAUGAGCAUAGGCUUAGGUUAAAUAUAUAUAAUAUAAUGUGUCUCGAUAUCUUGUAGAAGAACUUCGAAUUGCAUAACCGGGUAUGAUUCGAAUGCAAUGCAAGUGCUGAGCGAGUGAAUUGACUGUCAGGAACUAGGACCAAACAGCGGGUGAGAAAUUUCACCCACCGAUUAUCGAAUGCCAUCGUCAGUCGACUCCUGCUCUCAUUGUCAAACACUCCUUCUACUUAUCACGACAUAUUUCAAAAUCGUACCUUUCGUUUCACACUUUCGGGAAUAAGACACCGUUUGUUGCAGUACAUACUAAUCAUAUUAAUAGUAUCACUAAUGUCGAUUUAUUGUAAUAAUAAUCACCUAUACAGUCAUCACAUUAUGAAAUUCAUGCACCGUCGUCGAGAAUAUCUAGUACCAGAACGUUCAUCCAAUACCCCUAAAUUUUUUUUUCAAUUCUAAACAAAUGUUCAAAAUUAUAAUAAUAAUCGUUGUCUUUAUGAUAGUUGUAGCAUUGGUAUUUAAAAUUGACAAUGGUAUAAUAAUAACACCAACACCAACAGUAUUAUUGAUAGUAAUUAUCAUAACAGUUAUAAUAUCUUUCUACGCUACGUAAUUCUAAUCACUGUUGCACCAGUAAGUAAUAAUAACAUUACAGUAAUUAACAGUACCUGGACGUGAUAAUGGUAUAAUAAUAUUAAUAACAUAGGUAUAGCGAUACAUGAAGUACGUAUAGUGGUUUGAAUUUUUAGUUUGUCAAUAAUAAAAUUACAUACAGUGGAGCACGUAUGUGCUUGGUCUACAUACGAUUACUG